AGUGAACGCUGGCGGUAGGCCUAACACAUGCAAGUCGAACGGCAGCACAGUAAGAGCUUGCUCUUACGGGUGGCGAGUGGCGGACGGGUGAGGAAUACAUCGGAAUCUACUUUUUCGUGGGGGAUAACGUAGGGAAACUUACGCUAAUACCGCAUACGACCUACGGGUGAAAGCAGGGGAUCUUCGGACCUUGCGCGAUUGAAUGAGCCGAUGUCGGAUUAGCUAGUUGGCGGGGUAAAGGCCCACCAAGGCGACGAUCCGUAGCUGGUCUGAGAGGAUGAUCCGCCACACUGGAACUGAGACACGGUCCAGACUCCUACGGGAGGCAGCAGUGGGGAAUAUUGGACAAUGGGCGCGAGCCUGAUCCAGCCAUACCGCGUGGGUGAAGAAGGCCUUCGGGUUGUAAAGCCCUUUUGUUGGGAAAGAAAAGCAGCAGGUUAAUACCCCGCUGUUCUGACGGUACCCAAAGAAUAAGCACCGGCUAACUUCGUG
rnacentral:rRNA from 1 species